UUGUUUUGAAUUUUUAUAAUAAACAUUUAUAUAAAAAGCUAGUGAAAUGCGUUUUUAAAGUGUUUGGACUCGCUAUCCACGAGGAAGAGUGAGAGUGUUUGUUUUUGAGAGUGAAGGAGACAGCGAUUGUUGUUUUUGGCCAACUGCUCGCUGUUAUUGAUGACCGCUCCAGUGUUCCUUAGGGGGCUGGAGGAAGCGGACACGUUCUGAGUGGG